GACGAACGCUGGCGGCGUGCCUAAUACAUGCAAGUAGAACGCUGAAGAGAGGAGCUUGCUCUUCUUGGAUGAGUUGCGAACGGGUGAGUAACGCGUAGGUAACCUGCCUGGUAGCGGGGGAUAACUAUUGGAAACGAUAGCUAAUACCGCAUAAAAUUGAUUAUUGCAUGAUAAUUAAUUGAAAGAUGCAACUGCAUCACUACCAGAUGGACCUGCGUUGUAUUAGCUAGUUGGUGAGGUAACGGCUCACCAAGGCGACGAUACAUAGCCGACCUGAGAGGGUGAUCGGCCACACUGGGACUGAGACACGGCCCAGACUCCUACGGGAGGCAGCAGUAGGGAAUCUUCGGCAAUGGGGGGAACCCUGACCGAGCAACGCCGCGUGAGUGAAGAAGGUUUUCGGAUCGUAAAGCUCUGUUGUAAGAGAAGAACGGGUGUGAGAGUGGAAAGUUCACACUGUGACGGUAUCUUACCAGAAAGGGACGGCUAACUACGUGCCAGCAGCCGCGGUAAUACGUAGGUCCCGAGCGUUGUCCGGAUUUAUUGGGCGUAAAGCGAGCGCAGGCGGUUAGAUAAGUCUGAAGUUAAAGGCUGUGGCUUAACCAUAGUAUGCUUUGGAAACUGUUUAACUUGAGUGCAGAAGGGGAGAGUGGAAUUCCAUGUGUAGCGGUGAAAUGCGUAGAUAUAUGGAGGAACACCGGUGGCGAAAGCGGCUCUCUGGUCUGUAACUGACGCUGAGGCUCGAAAGCGUGGGGAGCAAACAGGAUUAGAUACCCUGGUAGUCCACGCCGUAAACGAUGAGUGCUAGGUGUUAGGCCCUUUCCGGGGCUUAGUGCCGCAGCUAACGCAUUAAGCACUCCGCCUGGGGAGUACGACCGCAAGGUUGAAACUCAAAGGAAUUGACGGGGGCCCGCACAAGCGGUGGAACAUGUGGUUUAAUUCGAAGCAACGCGAAGAACCUUACCAGGUCUUGACAUCCCUCUGACCGCUCUAGAGAUAGAGUUUUCCUUCGGGACAGAGGUGACAGGUGGUGCAUGGUUGUCGUCAGCUCGUGUCGUGAGAUGUUGGGUUAAGUCCCGCAACGAGCGCAACCCCUAUUGUUAGUUGCCAUCAUUGAGUUGGGCACUCUAGCGAGACUGCCGGUAAUAAACCGGAGGAAGGUGGGGAUGACGUCAAAUCAUCAUGCCCCUUAUGACCUGGGCUACACACGUGCUACAAUGGCUGGUACAACGAGUCGCAAGCCGGUGACGGCAAGCUAAUCUCUGAAAGCCAGUCUCAGUUCGGAUUGUAGGCUGCAACUCGCCUACAUGAAGUCGGAAUCGCUAGUAAUCGCGGAUCAGCACGCCGCGGUGAAUACGUUCCCGGGCCU
rnacentral:rRNA from 1 species